rnacentral:rRNA from 1 species
AUUGAACGCUGGCGGCAGGCUUAACACAUGCAAGUCGAGCGAGCGGCGGACGGGAGAGUAAUGUCUGGGAAACUGCCUGAUGGAGGGGGAUAACUACUGGAAACGGUAGCUAAUACCGCAUACCAUCAGAUGUGCCAAGAUGGGAUUAGCUAGUCGGUGGGGUAAUGGCUCACCUAGGCGACGAUCCCUAUCUGGGCUGAGAGGAUGACCAGUCACACUGGAACUGAGACACGGUCCAGACUCCUACGGGAGGCAGCAGUGGGGAAUAUUGGACAAUGGGCGAAAGCCUGAUGCAGCCAUGCCGCGUGUGUGAAGAAGGCCUUCGGGUUGUAAAGCACUUUCAGUGAGGAGGCGUUACUCGCAGAAGAAGCACCGGCUAACUCCGUGCCAGCCGCCGCGGUAAUAC